rnacentral:rRNA from 1 species
UCAGUCGACUCCUACGGGGAGGCAGCAGUGGGGAAUUUGGACAAUGGGCGAAAGCCUGAUCCAGCAAUGCCGCGUGCAGGAUGAAGGCCCUCGGGUUGUAAACUGCUUUUGUACGGAACGAAAGACCUGGGGGCUAAUAUACCCCGGGUCAUGACGGUACCGUAAGAAUAAGCACCGGCUAACUACGUGCCAGCAGCCGCGGUAAUACGUAGGGUGCAAGCGUUAAUCGGAAUUACUGGGCGUAAAAGCGUGCGCAGGCGGUUUUGUUAAGACAGUGGUGAAAUCCCCGGGCUCAACCUGGGAACUGCCAUUGUGACUGCAAGGCUAGAGUGCGGCAGAGGGGGAGUGGAAUUCCGCGUGUAGCAGUGAAAUGCGUAGAUAUGCGGAGGAACACCGAUGGCGAAGGCAAUCCCCUGGGCCUGCACUGACGCUCAUGCACGAAAGCGUGGGGAGCAAACAGGAUUAGAUACCCUGGUAG